rnacentral:rRNA from 1 species
GAUGAACGCUGGCGGCGUGCCUAAUACAUGCAAGUCGAGCGAACAGACGAGGAGCUUGCUCCUCUGACGUUAGCGGCGGACGGGUGAGUAACACGUGGAUAACCUACCUAUAAGACUGGGAUAACUUCGGGAAACCGGAGCUAAUACCAGAUAAUAUAUUGAACCGCAUGGUUCAAUAGUGAAAGACGGUUUUGCUGUCACUUAUAGAUGGAUCCGCGCCGCAUUAGCUAGUUGGUAAGGUAACGGCUUACCAAGGCAACGAUGCGUAGCCGACCUGAGAGGGUGAUCAGCCACACUGGAACUGAGACACGGUCCAGACUCCUACGGGAGGCAGCAGUAGGGAAUCUUCCGCAAUGGGCGAAAGCCUGACGGAGCAACGCCGCGUGAGUGAUGAAGGUCUUCGGAUCGUAAAACUCUGUUAUUAGGGAAGAACAAAUGUGUAAGUAACUAUGCACGUCUUGACGGUACCUAAUCAGAAAGCCACGGCUAACUACGUG